rnacentral:rRNA from 1 species
AUUGAACGCUGGCGGCAGGCCUAACACAUGCAAGUCGAACGAGUGGCGGACGGGUGAGUAAUGUCUGGGAAACUGCCUGAUGGCGGGGGAUAACUACUGGAAACGGUAGCUAAUCCCGCAUACCAUCAGAUGUGCCCUGAUGGGAUUAGCUAGUUGGUGGGGUAACGGCUCACCACGGCGACGAUCACUAGCUGGUCUGAGAGGGUGACCAGCCACACUGGAACUGAGACACGGUCCAGACUCCUACGGGAGGCAGCAGUGGGGAAUAUUGCACAAUGGGCGCAAGCCUGAUGCAGCCAUGCCGCGUGUAUGAAGAAGGCCUUCGGGUUGUAAAGUACUUUCAUCGGGGAGGCGUUACCCGCAUAAGAAGCACCGGCUAACUCCGUGCCAGCAGCCGCGGUAAUAC